rnacentral:rRNA from 1 species
CCUACGGGGGGCUGCAGUAAGGAAUAUUGGACAAUGGCGGAGACGCUGAUCCAGCUAUCCCGCGUGCAGGAUGAAGGACCUCUGGUUUGUAAACUGCUUUAGACUGGGGCGAAAAAGUGGGAUUUAUCCUACAUUGACGGUACCAGUAAAAUAAGCACCGGCUAACUCCGUGCCAGCAGCCGCGGUAAUACGGAGGGUGCAGGCGUUAUCCGGAAUCACUGGGUCGUAGGGGUGCUUCGACGGCUGGCUUGAAAGGCCACGGCUUAACCGUGGGAUUGCUUUUGAUACUGGCGAGCUUGGAUUAGGACGAGGUUGGCGGAAUGGGGCAAGUAGCGGUGAAAUGCAUAGAUAUGCCAUAGAAUACCGAUUGCGAAGGCAGCUGACUAGACCUAUAUUGACGCUGAGGCACGAAAGCGUGGGGAGCGAACAGGAUUAGAUACCCCAGUAGUC